rnacentral:rRNA from 1 species
AACACGUGGGUAACCUGCCUGUAAGACUGGGAUAACUCCGGGAAACCGGAGCUAAUACCGGAUAGUUCCUUGAACCGCAUGGUUCAAGGAUGAAAGACGGUUUCGGCUGUCACUUACAGAUGGACCCGCGGCGCAUUAGCUAGUUGGUGGGGUAAUGGCUCACCAAGGCGACGAUGCGUAGCCGACCUGAGAGGGUGAUCGGCCACACUGGGACUGAGACACGGCCCAGACUCCUACGGGAGGCAGCAGUAGGGAAUCUUCCGCAAUGGACGAAAGUCUGACGGAGCAACGCCGCGUGAGUGAUGAAGGUUUUCGGAUCGUAAAGCUCUGUUGUUAGGGAAGAACAAGUGCGAGAGUAACUGCUCGCACCUUGACGGUACCUAACCAGAAAGCCACGGCUAACUACGUGCCAGCAGCCGCGGUAAUACGUAGGUGGCAAGCGUUGUCCGGAAUUAUUGGGCGUAAAGGGCUCGCAGGCGGUUUCUUAAGUCUGAUGUGAAAGCCCCCGGCUCAACCGGGGAGGGUCAUUGGAAACUGGGAAACUUGAGUGCAGAAGAGGAGAGUGGAAUUCCACGUGUAGCGGUGAAAUGCGUAGAGAUGUGGAGGAACACCAGUGGCGAAGGCGACUCUCUGGUCUGUAACUGACGCUGACGAGCGAAA